CCUACGGGAGGCAGCAGUGGGGAAUAUUGCACAAUGGGGGAAACCCUGAUGCAGCGACGCCGCGUGAAGGAUGAAGUAUUUCGGUAUGUAAACUUCUAUCAGCAGGGAAGAAAAUGACGGUACCUGACUAAGAAGCCCCGGCUAACUACGUGCCAGCAGCCGCGGUAAUACGUAUGGUGCAAGCGUUAUCCGGAUUUACUGGGUGGAAAGGGAGCGCAGGCGGCGCGUUAAGCCUGGUGUGAAAGUCCGCGGCCCAACCGCGGGACUGCAUUGGGAACUGGCGCGCUGGAGUGCCGGAGGGGUAGGCGGAAUUCCUAGUGUAGCGGUGAAAUGCGUAGAUAUUAGGAGGAACACCAGUGGUGAAGGCGGCCUACUGGACGGUGACUGACGCUGAGGCUCGAAAGCGUGGGGAGCAAACAGGAUUAGAUACCCGGGUAGUC
rnacentral:rRNA from 1 species